UUAACCCAAAAACAUUGCAGUGUGCUGUCUCAGAAACAGAUAUUUCUGAGACAGCACACUGCAAUGUUUUUGGGCAAA